GAAUGCUCAAAGUAAUUAAUUCUAUUUAGUACUGUUAACUUAAAUCAUUACAAUUAGUUCAAAUUAAUUAACCUUGUUGAGUAUUUAGAACUUUCAGAUAUUUAUGAGUUUGUACAAAUUAAACUUUUUAAGUUAGAUGAAUGCAUGUUGUUUUUAAUUUGCACUAACUGUCUCUUUAAUGUACUCCAACUUAAAAUCCCUCAGUUUAGAGAUUUUGCGUCUGACGUCAUCCGUGUUCACGUAAGCUGCUCGCGUUGAGUUCUUCUCCUCAAGAUGAUGGAUCGGUCGCUUCAUGGGGUGCUAUUUCAAAUAAGAUGAUAGACUGGGAGUGCAGGGUGUAAAAAGAUUCAUCGUUCAAGACUCCACCUCCUCAGACACCACACACUAGAACAUAGACACUGCUCAAAAAUAAGUCCACUUCCAUCUUGAAGAUUCUGAAGUGCACAUUGAGAAGGAGCCACUGGAGCAAUAUACGGUUGUGCGUUACAGCUCUAAUGCCCAAAUGCAUAGUGACCCAGUGAAUGUCUCUGUUGUUCUUGAGGACGAAUUGGUCCACUCCCCACCCACAACCAACUUCCAGAGGCCUUUCUUGUCCUGUUUGGAUUCCAGUAUGCUUUUCACAUACAUAUUCCAAAAGGACUUGCAAAAACAUUUGUAUUUGUGCAAAAAACUUUUGCUUGGCAUGGAAGGUGGGAAACUGUCUCCUCGCCUGCAAACAUUAAAGAACGAGUUGAUGUGAAGCAUAACUUGUACUACCUCAGCACACACAAAAGACAAAAAGAGUUACUUAAAUGUUAUCUAACUGAUUUUUUACUUAUAUCUUCUUAGUUCUUAUUGACAAGUUAUUGUAUUAACAAACCGGUUCAGUUUAAGAAAUUGUCAUGUUUAAUGCAACUGUGUGGUGUUGAUAUGAAGUUGGCUGUUAAGCAUUACUUGCUCAUUUCUCAUUUUAUAAAAUGCUGUUAAACCGUUUGAGCCUGUUAAAAGGUAUGUUGUGUUGCUAAGAGAAUUUAAUUUUUGACUGAAAAAUAUUAAAUGCUAUUAAACAGUUAUGUUACCUUGAACCCAUUAAAAGGGUAACUUUACUUUUGUGGGUUGCUAAACAGACUUUAAUUUUUGACUGCAGAUUGUAUCACAUUUGUAAAUUUAAGAAAGAUGUUUAAUGCAACUGUCUC